UACAGAGGGUGCAAGCGUUAAUCGGAAUUACUGGGCGUAAAGCGUGCGCAGGCGGUUUUGUAAGUCUGUCGUGAAAGCCCCGGGCUCAACCUGGGAAUUGCGAUGGAGACUGCAAGGCUUGAAUCUGGCAGAGGGGGGUAGAAUUCCACGUGUAGCAGUGAAAUGCGUAGAGAUGUGGAGGAACACCGAUGGCGAAGGCAGCCCCCUGGGUCAAGAUUGACGCUCAUGCACGAAAGCGUGGGUAGCGAACAGG
rnacentral:rRNA from 1 species